UGUAGUUUCACGGUUCAAUACACAACAGCAGCACAUACAACUCGAUGUUUAAUAAGCCUUCUUUAAUGAUGAUGGUCAUGACUUUUUGCUUUGAAGGUUUGCAGGAAGCGAUGAACAUUUCUGACAUAUAAGCGAUCUCUUCUUCCGUUUCUCUCCUCUUCGUGUCACUCCGGAGCACCUAGCAUGGGACUGGGGAUUUAAAUGGUUAUUUAUCUAUUAGUUCCUCUGAGUGAAGUGGACACAUUCUGUGCUACAUCAUCGCCCUGUAAUCACAAAGACUGGACGCACGAAACCGCGAGGAACUUGUCAGGGGAAUUUCUUGCAGACUGAUGGGGUGAACCAAAUAAAUUAACAGCAUCUCAGCCGCAGGCUCCGGGUUACAAUGCGGAUUCCUCCUGGGCGGCGGGCCCCAGUAGGCUUUCACUUUUCUGCUGGGGCGCUCGCCCACUCCGAGCCAACUCCACGUCCUGGUUUUCGUCCUCGCCUCCUUCCCGCCGGCAGCCGGCUGCGGGUAAACACGCGGGGGUCGCAGAAAGAGGCGGCUGCUAUUGGAGGAGCCUAUCCAGGCCUCCCCUACGCCUAGCUCCGGAGCUGUCAGUUACUCGAACAGUGCGAGCGAGAUUUUGGCGCCACAGCUGGGAGUGAGGCUUUUGUUCCAUAACAAAAACAAGCGCCUGAGUGGCAAGGCUGCCAGCGCCCAGCCCAGCCGAGCAGGCAUAAAGGAGCCCGCGUCGCGGAUGUUUGUGACCUGUCAUUAGAGACAGCUCCCUCAGCUUCCAAACGAUCACAUGGAGACAAUGUGGCAAAUUAUGUUUGCACCAGCAAAGACCCUGCUCGAGCCACGAAGGUGAAUACUGUGCACCGGGAUCUAGUAAGGGGGGCCUGCUUGCUCAGGCGGAAAAACACCAACGAGUCAUUUCCAGCGCUUUUUGUCUCUGUCAAAGAACUUCUGUUUUCCCUCUGCAGCUGAAAGGCAACCUUCUGGUUGAAACAAGUUAAAUGAUGAAUCCAAGAGGAAAAACUAGGUAUUAAGAUGUCAUAAUGUAGUUCUCCCGAUAUGGUGGUCCCCCAUUAUGAGUACAUAGAGAUGGAGUCUACUAUAUUAUUUGUUUGAUGUUUGCACAUAUGAUGCUAAAUUAGAACACGUCCAGACCCAGGUUACUCUCUACUAUGGAAACAUUCAUGUGAAAACCAGAAUUCAAAAGUCAGAUAGAUUAGGGGCGAGUGUUCUCAUUUCAGUCUUUGAGUUUCAAAGCAUUCCAAAGACUUGAAACUCCUCUCCAAAUCAGUAAAGCUGACAUCUAAAGUGCCACAAUUGAGAAUUUAUUUAUUCAGAUUUAGUCUGGUUAGAAUGGAAGUACCUUUGAGAAAACGAUGUUAAAAGAUAGUCGUUUACACCUUAGUGUGAGUUUGUUUAAUUAUUUUUCUUUUGAGAGUAGGCUUUUAGGAAGGAAAGAGACUAGUUACAACUGAGUUCCUGGAAGGAGACAGAUGAACAAUAUGGGUGGAAAUGAAUGCAGAAACAGUCUAGGUGUCCCAGAAGCCCUGUUUGUGGCUUCACAAUUCUGGGAAAACCCAGCUUUUUAAAGAGAGGUUUGUUUUGUUUUGUCUUGUUUUCGCAAUAAUAGAACUUUCUACAGUUAUGGACAUGUUCUAUAUCUGCACUGUCUCAUAUGCGAACCACUAGGCACAUGUGGUUAUUGAGGACUUGAAAUGUGCCUGGUGUGACUGAGAAACUGAAUUUUUAAUUCGAUCGGAUUUAAAUAGUCACAUGUGACUAAUGGUUCCCAUAUUGGGCAGCACAGCUUUAGAGCAUUUUAAAAGGUGUCCACAAAUCUUCAGGAAAAAAAAUUGCAUAGUGUGGUGGGCAGCCUCAAAGACGGCCCACAACAGUCCCCACCUCCUGGUAUUCAUGCCCCUGAGUGGGAUUCCCUCCUUUUGAGCAUGGGCUACAACUAGCAAUUUGUUUCCAGCAAUGGAACAUGGCCAAAGUGAUGGGAUGUCACCUCCAAGAUUAGGUUACAAAGAGACUCCAGCUCCAUCUGGAGCAUCUUCUUUGGCUCUCUCCCUUGUUUGCUCUGAGGGAAGCCAGCUGCCAUGUCAUCAGCUGCCCUAUGGAGCGGCCCCGCUGGCAGGGAACUGAUGUCUUCAGCCAACAGCCAGCAAGGAUCUGAAGCCCUCAGACCAACAACCAUCAAAGAACUAAACGCUGCCAAAAACCACGGGAAGGAGCUGAGAACUGAAUUCUCCACCAGUCCCGGCCUAGAGAUGACUGCAGCCCUGGCUGACACCUUGAUUGCAGCUUUGUGAACCAAAGACACCCAGAUGGAGCAAUAUGAGGGCUUCACAGAAGCAGCAGGCUCUGCCUUCCAGGGACCCGCUGGUGGACUAGGAGAAGGCUUGGUUUGGUGCCUCUCCCCUUCCCAUCUUUCUCCUCACGUCCUGAAGCCUGUUUGUGCCCAGUGUUCUGAGCACCACAGAGACCACCAGGAGGGCUUGACCCGGCCUCGGAUGAGAAUAAUGACAUGCCUGGAGCAGGAGAUGCUCAUUAACCCAGAAGAACAAAUAACUGAUGAGAGAACUAAAAUAAUAAGAUGAGCCAAAGUAGUCUCAAACCACAACAUAAUCAGCAACUUUAAUAUUGUAUUUCUUUCUUCCUUCAACAAACAAUUAUGUGUGUGCUGUGUGUUUGGCACUGUGCUAAGCAUUUGAGCGACAUUGCUGGGUAACUACAAAGAAGACAUUUUUGAGCAGACAGACAAUGAAUGGAUCAUAUCAGUAAUUAUGAAGUUACCACUGUGUGUUAUAAGAGAGCUGUUGGCGCUGGAGUGCUAGUGGGUGCCGCUCUUCUAGGUGAAGGAGACAUCACAAGCCAAGGUUCUGUAGCCAGGAGACAUGGCAGGUUGGAGAGACUGAAAGGAGGAGAGUAAUACCAGAGAAGUGGACCCUGAGAACUCAGAGAGCUAGCGACUAAGGAGAAGGUACAGGAUUUGAACACAGGAUGUCUGAUUGCAGAGCUAGAACCACACUGUGUCUGUGCAGAGGAAGCAGCCAAUGAAUCAUGAGCAUUUUAUGGUGACUAUUAUUCAGUCCCUCUACUGUCCAUGAGAUUCAACUACCAGUGCAUGGGGACCAGGCCAGGGCUCAACGCCACGUGACAAAUGCCGUUCUGUAUCCAGAAUCUUCCUCCUGUCCACUGACUAAGAUGUGCGUUUGUUCCCUGGUAGAUCUCAUUGAGCCUGGAUCUUUCUCUCCUCCUAAUGAGCUCUCCGAGGACACUCCUCUGGUGGGGUCACCUUAUCAAUUUUCUACAUAUAUUCUAUGCUUUAAAUCUCACUUAGACUCAGGGACAGAGUCCCUACCAGCUGCUUUUUGCUUUUCAUCUGUCCCAUAUCCAAACUCCAUAGCCCAUGGCACCUAUUUCCUUUUGGAAAAUUGCUCUUGCCCCCAAAUGUUAUCUUGGCAGAGGGUAAUGCUUGCCUCUGACUAGGGAAGCUGCCCCGCCAGGAAGUGAAUGUGCAACCUUGUUUGGCCAGUCGGUGCUCCCCUCUGGGACUGUGAAUCAUGAGUAGGUAACACAAAGAUGUUAGAGAUGGGUAGAAAUGCUGCCCACUCCUGCUGUGGGUCCUGAGGGCUGGCUCUCACAUUGCCCCUAAUGCCUGCGGGUUCCAAGCCUACAGCUGAUUCUCUGAGCUCCUGACAUACUUACAAUCACUUACCUUUUAUGUAAAAUAGUCAAGGUGCAUUUCUCUUGCAAACUUGCAAGAAU